rnacentral:rRNA from 1 species
AGGACAAACGCUGGCGGGGUGCAUGAGACAUGCAAGUCGAACGAGGUGCCAUCGGGCUUGCUCGAUGGUUACCUAGUGGCGGACGGCUGAGUAACGCGUAGGUGACCUACCCGGAAGUGGGGAAUAACUGCCCGAAAGGGUGGCUAAUACCGCAUGUGGUCGGCGAUUCGAUUCGCCGUCUAAAGGAGCAAUUCGCUUCCGGAGGGGCCUGCGUCCGAUUAGCUAGUUGGUGGGGUAACGGCUCACCAAGGCGACGAUCGGUAGCUGGUCUGAGAGGAUGAUCAGCCAGACUGGGACUGAGAACGGCCCAGACUCCUACGGGAGGCAGCAGUCGGGAAUUUGCCCAAUGGACGAAAGUCUGAGGCAGCAACUCGCGUGAGGGAUGAAGGCUCGUCGGGUCGUAAACCUCUUUUUCUCAGGAAGAUCCAAGACGGUACCUGAGGAAUAAGCGACGGACUAACGUACGUGCCAGCAGCCGC